rnacentral:Y_RNA from 1 species
GGCUGGUUUGAAGGUAGUGAGUUAUCUCAGUUGAUUGUUCACAGUCAGUUACAGACUGAACUCCUUGUUCUACUCUUUCCCGUCUUCUCACUACUGCACUUGACUAGUCUUAA